rnacentral:sRNA from 1 species
GCCAGGCCGAUUGAGCGCCGCUAUCGUUCGCAUAGGCACAUCGAACGCACGUUGUUUUUGUUGAAACGUGCGUUCGGUGUUAUAGUGAACGGUGUUUGAUAACCACCGAGCCUGGCGACUGCCCAUGAUCAGACAACGCACACUGAAGAACGUCAUCCGCGCCACCGGCGUCGGCCUGCACUCCGGCAAGAAGGUCU